GACGAACGCUGGCGGCGUGCUUAACACAUGCAAGUCGAACGGAAAGGCCCUGCUUUUGUGGGGUGCUCGAGUGGCGAACGGGUGAGUAACACGUGAGUAACCUGCCCUUGACUUUGGGAUAACUUCAGGAAACUGGGGCUAAUACCGGAUAGGAGCUCCUGCUGCAUGGUGGGGGUUGGAAAGUUUCGGCGGUGGGGGAUGGACUCGCGGCUUAUCAGCUUGUUGGUGGGGUAGUGGCUUACCAAGGCUUUGACGGGUAGGCGGCAUGAGAGGGUGAACGGCCACAUUGGGACUGAGAUAGGGCCCAGACUGCUACGGGAGGCAGCAGUGGAGAAUAUUGCACAAUGGGCGGACGCCAGAUGCAGCAGCGGCGUGUGCGGGAUGACGGCCUUCGGGUUGUAAACCGCUUUCGACUGAGACGAAGCGUUAGUGACGGUAAUGGGUAAAGAAGCACCGGCUAACUACGUG
rnacentral:rRNA from 1 species